rnacentral:rRNA from 1 species
GCAUAUCAAUAAGCGGAGGAAAAGAAACCAACAGGGAUUGCCUCAGUAACGGCGAGUGAAGCGGCAACAGCUCAAAUUUGAAAUCUGGCCUCUUUAGGGGUCCGAGUUGUAAUUUGUAGAGGAUGUUUCGGGUACCGCUCCGGUUUAAAUUUCUUGGAACAGAAUGUCAGAGAGGGUGAGAAUCCCGUCUUGGACCGGCGGUAGGGCCCAUGUGAAACUCCUUCGACGAGUCGAGUUGUUUGGGAAUGCAGCUCAAAAUGGGUGGUAAAUUUCAUCUAAAGCUAAAUAUUGGCCAGAGACCGAUAGCGCACAAGUAGAGUGAUCGAAAGAUGAAAAGCACUUUGAAAAGAGAGUUAAACAGUAUGUGAAAUUGUUGAAAGGGAAGCGCUUGCAACCAGACUUGAGCGCGGCGGUUCCCCCUUCCUUUUGGUUGGGUUACUCCGUCGUGUCCAGGCCAACAUCGGUUCUGGGGGUCGGUUAAAGGCCCGGGGAAUGUACCUACCCUUCGGGCGUAGACUUAUAGCCCCAGGCGUCAUGCGACCACCCGGGACCGAGGAACGCGCUUCGGCUCGGAUGUUGGCGUAAUGGUUGUCAGCGACCCGUCUUGAAACACGGACCAAGGAGUCUAACAUCUAUGCGAGUGUUUGGGUGUCAAACCCGGAACGCGAAAUGAAAGUGAACGGAGGUAGGAAGCUCUUUUGGGGCUGCACUAUCGACCGAUCCUGAUGUCUUCGGAUGGAUUUGAGUAAGAGCAUAGCUGUUGGGACCCGAAAGAUGGUGAACUAUGCCUGAAUAGGGUGAAGCCAGAGGAAACUCUGGUGGAGGCUCGCAGCGGUUCUGACGUGCAAAUCGAUCGUCAAAUUUGGGUAUAGGGGCGAAAGACUAAUCGAACCAUCUGGUAGCUGGUUCCUGCGA